AGAGACCGUUAUUUAUAACCUAUACCCAGUAUCUCUCCUAUUUGACUGUAUUUGCCAAAUGCUUAUAUAAAACGUGACAACGGAUUUUAUCACUGCAUAUUUGUUUUAAAAAAGUUAUAAUUCAAAGUAUUAUUUUCCCUCCCUGAAAUUAGAUAUGUUGUGCGAAAAUAUAUGUUCAGAAUGAAUAUUAUUCACAAUUUCUGUAAGUCUGUUUAAUGUAAUUCUGCAUUCACUAGAUGAAAGCAAUAAUUUUCUAAAUACCUAAUAUCCAUUUCUGACUUGAAAACUUUAUAAAAGAAGGAUAUACACAUCAAAUUUAGCACACACUAACUUGGGCAAAAGCAGCAAACCAGAAGUUCAGCAGAGAUUGUUCAGUGAUUUGCCAAGUUUCAGUUUGUGUUGAUGUUAAAUAUGUUUAAAAAACACAGACUUGUUUUUAUUUGCUUAGCAAAGAAAAACAUCCCUGAGCUAAAACCAAAUGUUAUCAGAAGAGGUGUGAGUGGGUAUUUGCAUACAUAAGUUAUGCCAAUUUAGUAGAAUUAGAAUACUUUUGAAACAUUUAUGAUCUUGAAAACCCUUUCCCUAUUUCCGGUGAUUCCAUUUCUGUUUCUGUGGGAAUGGAAACAGAAGUGAAGGAGAGCUAGAAAAAGAGAAGUUAGAAUAGAACUCUUGUAAGUUUUUAGUAGCUGAGGCUGAGCGCUACAAAAGCUGUCUUCCUUGCCAAAAGCACAUACAGGCAUUUGGAGCCAAAAAAUCUGUUUAAAGCUUUGUGGCAAGAGGUAGACAAACUAUCAUUAAAAAGAACUACUCCAAUAUGUUUUUCUCCCAGUUUCUAGAUGUAAUGAUCUGAAAGAAAGUAAACAGGCUAGAAGUCCAGACUUGCUAUUUAAGUGCUAAGUAUUAUAUUUACGUAGUUAUACAGGACACUUAAGCAGCUAUAACUUUCAUGAGGCAAUCAGAUGCUGAAUUACAUAAUACCCAUUUAAUGCUUGUGUCUGUAUAAAAGCAGAGAAUCAGAUCUUUUGCAGUAACAACAAAUAAAUCACUCAACUAUUGUACGUGAACAGUUGUACAUAAAAUCUGUACAUAGUGGACUAGGACAUCAGUGACUUUUACCCUGAAAUAUUGAUUAUUUUAUAGAAAUAUUGAUUAUUUCAUAGAAACAGAGAUUGGAAAUGGAGAAGUAUUUCUUUUUUAAGCACGCAGAAAUGUGCUCGAUCUCUCCAUUCUCCUCAUCCCUUCUUCAGUUUCCAUAGUUCUCCUCUUUGUUCCCAUUAGCUACAUGUUACUACCCUCUCUCUUCUCUCUCAUUUUUGUACAAAAGAGCUGAAGGUGGGUGAAGCCUGCCUUCACAGAGCAGCUCGAUUCCUUCAGAAACCCACAACUCGUUAUAGCAAGGCUGUCAUGAAGUGACCAAUCCCAUCUGGGAAAAGGGUGCAGUUUACGGUAGGCUUCAAUCCAUUGAACAUAAAAUAUGCAACAAAAUAAUCACUGGACUGUGCAGCAGGGUAUAGCAAAAACUAUACAAAAUAUGGAGGUACCUGGGGGUAGCGCCCUUUACAAGCUCUCAGAUAACACAAUGAAGAAUGCAGUAUAUCAGGUAUUCAGAUAAAAUUGAGGAAUGUAAUGUAAAUGCCUAGAUAAAUUAUAUACAGAGGAACCUACGUGUUCAAAUACCAAUACAACAGGAUUAAUGAAUGACAAUGGGGAUGCCUUGCUUUUGUAAAUUUGCCUAUUCAUCAUUUUAUUCAAAUAAUACAUUUGUAUAUAUUGUAAAAUACACCCUAAAGUAUUCUGCACUGUGACUAGCUGAAUACUGUAUGAGAAUACAGUCACAGUACAUACAUAUCCUAAGUUGGCAUCCUAACAGGAAAAUGAUUCAGCCCCAAGUAAUGUCUCUCUAGAUCAUUAAUUAUGAGAGACUAUUUGGGAAUGAAACAUUGAACAAAAUCCAGUCCUUGGGGAUUUGUGUAAAUAAAUAAUAAAUAUGCUUAUUCUUUUGGGGAACAGAGAGAAAGUAAUUUCAUAGCACUAAAAGGCAUUCACAUACUGUGAACCACUAUGGAUCUGAAAGGAACUGGCGCUUUCACAGUAAAUAGCACUCAAAAUUUAAAGACUUUCUUUUGACAACAUUUCCAUUUGAAGUCAGAUAUUAGAAAUGCAGUGUGCCGGAAAGAUCAAUUUCUCUAUCCUUUUCUUCACUCCCUUCUAUGUGAAUCUGAUUGCUGGUGAGGGCUGCAAACCUGAGCUAUGAAGUCCAAUCACCCAGCAAAACAGUCUGCACGAUGAUUUGUGUGGAGUCACUGUCAUCCAAGCCCGCAGCAGUAAGCAGAACAGCCAGUGCCAUGAUGCCAUCUUCCAGGAAGCCAAGAAAGUGCCUCCUUUUCUGGAUCAGAAGAGAUAGCAAGAUGCAAAGUAGAGGGAUAAGGAGAGGAAGGAUCUGGUGCAGGGGAGGCCAAACCCAAGCACCUGUACCCUGCAUCAAUCUGGGCAGGUUCCCAGCAGCAAGAGAAGUCUGGGGAGCAU